GAUGAACGCUAGCGGCAGGCCUAAUACAUGCAAGUCGUACGGGAUGGCCCCUUCGGGGGCUUGAGAGUGGCGCACGGGUGCGUAACGCGUAUGCAACCAACCCUCAUCCGGGGGACAGCCGGUGGAAACGCCGGGUAAUACCCCAUGGCGAUUCCUGUGGGCAUCCACGGGGGUUGAAAGACUUCGGUCGGGGGAGGACGGGCAUGCGUCCCAUUAGCUAGUCGGCGGGGUGACGGCCCACCGAGGCGACGAUGGGUAGGGGAUCUGAGAGGACGGUCCCCCACACUGGUACUGAGACACGGACCAGACUCCUACGGGAGGCAGCAGUAAGGAAUAUUGGGCAAUGGGGGGAACCCUGACCCAGCCAUGUCGCGUGAGGGAAGUAGGCCCUACGGGUCGUGAACCUCUUUUGUCCAGGGACAAGGACGGCGUCGGGAACGUCGUUUGAGGGUACUGGAAGAAUAAGCAUCGGCUAACUCCGUGCCAGCAGCCGCGGUAAUACGGAGGAUGCGAGCGUUAUCCGGAUUCAUUGGGUUUAAAGGGUGCGCAGGCGGCCGGGCAAGUCAGCGGUGAAAGUCAGGGGCCCAACCCCGGAAGUGCCGUUGAUACUGUUCGGCUGGAAUGCGGUCGAGGCGGGCGGAAUGUGGCGUGUAGCGGUGAAAUGCGUAGAUAUGCCACAGAACGCCGAUAGCGGAGGCAGCUCGCCAGGCCUGCAUUGACGCUCGGGCACGAAAGCGUGGGGAUCGAACA
rnacentral:rRNA from 1 species